UGCUGUGGUCCGGAGUCAGUGGGUUACCUGUUACUAGCAACUCUGAAACGAAGCACAGCAUUCAUUGUUCAAAGGCACCCCCUACCCACUGGCACUACUUGACCACACU
rnacentral:sRNA from 1 species